GUAAUUGCAGAUGCGUCACACCUGCAUGGAAGAAAGUGCAUUUUCUGGACUCCCCAGUCACUUUCAAAAGUUUUCAUUCAGUUUUAUCGCCUAUGCCUACAAGGUUGGAAACUAUGUGACCCGAAGAAAGCAUGUUUAUUUGGUUGGGUUGAAGUGAAAUGACACUUUGACUCGUGUUUAAGCCGUUCAAAGAGCUGUACCGUCUCAUUUAGCAACAUGUAGCAACCCAACGUCAAGUAAUGAAGGCACCAGUAUCAGUGUAAUGCACAUUCAGGAGAACGGUUAGAAGCAUUGUCAUAAGAGGUGAUGCCAUGUGUCAUGUUUCUUGGAACUACAAGGAUUCUGCAAGUACCAAAUGUCUACUCCAAAACUAUGGAAAUUGAGGACCUACCCAGCCAACAUUUGGACAAUUCAGCCAGGAGCAGCAGCAGAAGCAGGAGCAGCAGCAGCUCAGGAGGCCGGCUUACCGUGCUGGUUAAUAAUAAAAAGCCUUAUAGGUGGGAUUAAAUUAUUAUCCACACAGACGACGGAGAAGAAGGUGCUUAAACUCUAUAUACCUGCCCGUGUGUCCGACUGUACCGCCGCCGCCGCUGCACUCCUUCUUCACACUUUGUCUGGCUAAUUCUCCUCUUCCUUUGUGCCCCCUUUUUUCUCUUGCUUUCUCUCUCCGCUCCGUCACUUCUUCUUAGAAGCUUUCAUCUUGAUGUCUUUCUCUGCACUGACCUCACUUCUUUCAUUCUCUUCUGCAAACUUUCCAACAUUAUUUCUUUAUUUUCAAAAUCCCCUCCUUUAUUUUUUUUGCUCUCCCAGCAUCUUUCCCGUACAGGGCGGUAUCUCCCCCCAUACAUAGAGGAGCACAUAUCCCUGUUCCUCCUCUUUGUAUGCGCCUCUUUUCUCGCUCCCUCUGUGUAGGAGGAGCACACUCGUUCUAAGCUCAAGUCUUUAUCAAGCGUGACUCACAAUUCAACUAUUUCUACAGCGAAACUCGUCCUCUGGAGUCUCUCUCUUGUUACAUAUUUUAUCUCCUUUCAGCUCUUCCUCCAAUUUUCUUGGCCUGGCUUUUUAUUCUACCUAAUCUUACCUCUCUUAUUAUCUCCCUCAACCGCACAGAUUCCCUCUCUCUGUCGCUCUCUCUGCUCUAUCCCCCCUCUCGCUCUUUCUCACGCCACCAUCCCUUUCUGCUCUCCCCUCCAGUUCUGUAAACAUAAACAUUUUGGGUGUCUGCCAUCAGAGAUAUCCAGGCCGAGUCUGUCACCAGAAUCAUUUCAAUGCUAAUUUCCCUGGCAUCUGUGAUAAAUAAAUUCACUCUGACAAACACACA